rnacentral:rRNA from 1 species
UGACAACAAGGCCUCCCGUUCGCUCAGACCUAUUUAAGCAAGACACCGGCGGGUUAGUGGUUAGGUGGGUGACCACUAGCGAAUCCCCCCUGUUGUGUG